rnacentral:rRNA from 1 species
AUGGCCUCGGUGGCGCCGGAGGUUGAGAAGAAGGAGGAGGAGGAGCAGGUGGUGAACCCGUGGGAGGUGUCGGCGGGGAAGGGCGGCAUCGACUACGACAAGCUGGUCGACCAGUUCGGCUGCCAGCGCCUCGACGCCGCGCUCAUCGACCGCAUCGCCCGCCUCACCGGCCGCCCCCCGCACCGCUUCCUCCGCCGCGGCCUCUUCUUCGCUCACCGGGAUUUGAACGAGAUACUGGACAUCUACGAGAAGGGGGACAAGUUCUACCUCUACACGGGGAGAGGGCCCUCGUCAGAGGCGUUGCAUCUCGGACACCUCGUCCCCUUCAUGUUCACCAAAUAUUUGCAGGAUGCUUUCAAGGUUCCUCUAGUGAUACAGCUAACUGAUGAUGAGAAGUUCCUGUGGAAAAAUUUGACUGUAGAGGAAAGUAAAAGGCUUGCGCGUGAAAAUGCAAAAGACAUUAUAGCAUGCGGAUUUGAUGUUGAAAGGACUUUUAUAUUCUCUGAUUUUAAUUUUGUUGGCGGUGCCUUUUACGAAAACAUGGUUAAAGUGGCCAGAUGUGUGACAUAUAAUAAAGUUGUGGGAAUAUUUGGAUUCACUCCAGAGGAUCACAUUGGAAAGAUUAGCUUUCCUCCUGUGCAAGCAGUUCCAUCAUUCCCUUCUUCAUUUCCCAAACACUUUUCUGGCAAUGACCAACUACGGUGCCUGAUACCUUGCGCAAUAGACCAGGAUCCUUAUUUCAGGAUGACCCGUGAUGUUGCUCCAAGAAUUGGUUACCAGAAGCCAGCACUGAUUGAGUCAAGAUUUUUCCCUGCUCUUCAGGGGGAGAACACGAAAAUGUCAGCUAGUGAUCCAAAUUCUGCUAUAUAUGUGACCGAUAGUACUAAAGAUAUAAAGACAAAGGUGAAUAAAUAUGCAUUCUCAGGUGGCCAGGACUCUGUAGAACUUCACAGAAAACUUGGAGCUAACCUUGAGGUUGAUGUCUCAAUUAAGUACCUGAACUUCUUCCUUGAAGAUGAUGAUGAGCUUGAGCGCAUAAAGAAGGCGUACAAGGAAGGAAGGAUGCUGACGGGUGAAGUGAAGCAGCUUCUGGUUACGGUUCUUUCUGAGAUGGUUGAAAGGCACAAAAGAGCUAGAGCUCGAGUUACCGAGGAGAUGGUCGACGCCUUCAUGGCUGUGAGGCCUCUUCCCAACAUGUUUGGCUGA